rnacentral:misc_RNA from 1 species
GGCAGUUUAAAAUAUAACAUUCCAAUGCAACAAAUUUCAACUCAUUCAAGAAACAAAACAAACUUAAGACCCAUAAAAGAGAAGAAAAAGAAACCAAAUGAAGAUGAAAGAAGGGUUAAACACAUGAAUUGUGAUCAUAUUAGACAUGAGUUUCAGGAGAGCAAUAAGCAGGACGGAAAGCCAAGGGACCUGCAGCGUAGAUAACAGCCUCAUAAUGACUUCCUCGCAGUAUCUUGUUUUCAUAGCGAAGAGGAGCACCAUUGAUUCCAUAGUUAACAUUGGAGAGGAGACUGCAAUUUGCAAGAGGAGAUGAAACAAGCUUCACAUGGCAAGAUUGAAGAGGAUGGUCCAAAAUGUUGUUAUCCAUCUUGAAGCCAUUAAGUUGUGCAUAGAAGUAGCCAUGUUCAUUAGUUUCAUAUGCCUUGUAGUAACUCACUUGUUUCAUGUGGUUUUUACAAAUGACACUAACUUUUGCUGAAGGUAUUGGUUCAGCCCCAUUCAAAGACCAUGAACCAUAGUGGUCACAGCUCUGGCAGUAGACCAUACCUUCAACAACUACAUCAACUAUCUUCUCUCCUGGUUUGGUUGGAGCACUUUCAUAUGCAGAUAUUGAAGGGAAGGCCAAAGGGAGCAGCAGGAGAGAGCAGAUGGCUAUUGUGAGCUGGUUGAUUGCCAUAUUCAUGGAGAGGGUUUUGGAGAUUAAUGGAGAUUAG